rnacentral:rRNA from 1 species
GAUGAACGCUGACAGAAUGCUUAACACAUGCAAGUCAACUUGAAUUUGGGUUUUUAACUUAGGUUUGGGUGGCGGACGGGUGAGUAACGCGUAAAGAACUUGCCUCACAGCUAGGGACAACAUUUGGAAACGAAUGCUAAUACCUAAUAUUAUGAUAAUAGGGCCUCCUAUAAUUAUGAAAGCUAUAAGCGCUGUGAGAGAGCUUUGCGUCCCAUUAGCUAGUUGGUGAGGUAACGGCUCACCAAGGCGAUGAUGGGUAGCCGGCCUGAGAGGGUGAUCGGCCACAAGGGGACUGAGACACGGCCCUUACUCCUACGGGAGGCAGCAGUGGGGAAUAGUGGACAAUGGACCGAGAGUCUGAUCCAGCAAUUCUGUGUGCACGAUGAAGUUUUUCGGAAUGUAAAGUGCUUUCAGUUGGGAAGAAACAAAUGACGGUACCAACAGAAGAAGUGACGGCUAAAUACGUG